rnacentral:tRNA from 1 species
GCCCAGAUAGCUCAGUCGGUAGGGCAGGGGAUUGAAAAUCCCCGGUGUUCGGCGGUUCGAUUCCGUCUCUGGGCACCA